rnacentral:rRNA from 1 species
CCUACGGGUGGCAGCAGUGGGGAAUAUUGCGCAAUGGGCGAAAGCCUGACGCAGCGAUGCCGCGUGAGGGAUGAAGGUCUUCGGAUCGUAAACCUCUGUCAGCAGGGAAGAACGGUCACUGUGCUAAUAAGCAGUGAAUUGACGGUACCUGCAAAGGAAGCACCGGCUAACUCCGUGCCAGCAGCCGCGGUAAUACGGAGGGUGCGAGCGUUAAUCGGAAUUACUGGGCGUAAAGCGCACGCAGGCGGUAUGUCAAGUCAAGGGUGAAAUCCCCGGGCUCAACGUGGGAACUGCCUCUGAAACUGGCAGACUUGAGUGUGUGAGAGGAUGGUAGAAUUCCAGGUGUAGGAGUGAAAUCCGUAGAGAUCUGGAGGAAUAUCAGUGGCGAAGGCGACUAUCUGGCACAUAACUGACGCUGAGGUGCGAAAGCGUGGGUAGCAAACAGGAUUAGAUACCCGGGUAGUC